AUUGAACGCUGGCGGCAGGCCUAACACAUGCAAGUCGAACGGUAACAGGAAUCAGCUUGCUGAUUUGCUGACGAGUGGCGGACGGGUGAGUAAUGUCUGGGAAACUGCCUGAUGGAGGGGGAUAACUACUGGAAACGGUAGCUAAUACCGCAUAACGUCGCAAGACCAAAGAGGGGGACCUUCGGGCCUCUUGCCCACGGAUGUGCCCAGAUGGGAUUAGCUAGUAGGUGGGGUAACGGCUCACCUAGGCGACGAUCCCUAGCUGGUCUGAGAGGAUGACCAGCCACACUGGAACUGAGACACGGUCCAGACUCCUACGGGAGGCAGCAGUGGGGAAUAUUGCACAAUGGGCGCAAGCCUGAUGCAGCCAUGCCGCGUGUAUGAAGAAGGCCUUCGGGUUGUAAAGUACUUUCAGCGGGGAGGAAGGGAGUAAAGUUAAUACCUUUGCUCAUUGACGUUACCCGCAGAAGAAGCACCGGCUAACUCCGUGCCAGCCGCCGCCGUAAAAC
rnacentral:rRNA from 1 species